AGGGUUUCAAAGUUCUGCAAAUGGAAACUGUAAAAACAAUGGUUGAUUAUAAGCUGAAAGUGUUGGUAAAAUCGACGCCGGAAUUCGCUCAGCGCCUCCUCGAUCGCCGCCGUAAUUUCAACCGCCAUAGUCCGGUAAUCCUACCACUCGGUUUUUUUUGUUCUUUUCAAAAUGUGGAUUUUUGGAUUGAUCUGUAUUGGAUCAAUGAUUAAUCUAAUUGUUACGAUUCCAGCAGUUUUAUUUUUCGGAGAAUCUGCAAUUGAUAUUGGCAAUAAUAAUUACAUUACCACAUUAGCUAUGGUAUGGCGAGAAUUUCACGGGAAGGAAGCCCACCGGAAAAUUUUCCGAUGGAAAACUUCCGGCAGAUCUUUUCGUUGAAGAGUUUGGGAAUCAAGCCACUUUUGCCACCUUAUCUCCAUCCAUCUCUCGAAGAUCAAGAUUUAUUAACCGGGGCCGGUCAACAUAGUAAAGCGGAAGAAGAUUGGCGGAGAGGAAAGAUCGUCCACUAUUUUGAGGGAAAGUGUAUUCGCAGUGGCCACUGGCAGCCAACGGCGUUUGGAGUACGUAUUUCAAUAUAAGGCAUCUUCGGAACGAUGUUUCUUCGCAAAGAUACUAUGAUUAUUGAAGGACUUGUACGAUUUUGGGGGCACGUGGAAUUGGUGUGUUUGGCUUGCCAUCACAAAGAACUGUCGAGGGAGGACUCGAAAGAAUAUGUGUCGAUAAAUAUAAUGAAAUCGCGCAAUUAUUCAACAAUAAAUUGUCAGCUGAAAUAGCCUCUCUCAACACACAAUUCCCUGAAGCAAAGAUGGUAUACGUAGAUUUUUACGAUCUUCCUCUUGAUAUCAUUGAAAGCCCGCAAA